rnacentral:lncRNA from 1 species
AAGGCAGGUAAAAACUAAGUGAAUCUGAGUACUUAAUUAAUUACACAUAUAUUGAUUCCAUCCUACUCUAGUGUAGAACCCAAAAUAUCAAUUAUUGAACUAAAUCAAAAAUCUAGAACUGAUCUGCAAAAUAAACUUGUCGAACACAUAUGAAAUCAACAAACAACAAAGAAAACAAGCUAGCAACCUAUUUCAAAUCGCAACCACGAAAGCAAAAUCGCAAACAACAGAGAAGGGGAGGAAAGAUAGACCCGAAUUAUUUUCAAAUAUAUUUUGAUCUCCGACGAUUACAAGUUAAUGAGGAUUCCAGCGAUUGAAUGCAAAAAGAAGAUGAGAAAACAGCAGCAACAAGAUAGAGCAGAGACCGCGAACCAAAUCAGAACGACAAACGGAACUCAAGCAGCACAGUAAAACUCGAACCAACAACAACUCGAAUAACAUCCACAACAGCCGGAAGUUGAAAUCAGAAAAGACAAUUGAAACCUACUAUUUUUGUUCGAUAUUCUAGUACAUUAAGAAGCAACAAAAAAAAUGAAUCAGUACACAAAGAGACCCUUUUCUUUUUUUGUCCGAAAUCUAUCUGAAGUUCAUCUCCACACUGUGUUUUUUAGGUCCCUCCCCUCCCGAUCUGUGUGCGCGUAUAUGUUUUUUCGGUUGACAGCAAGACGAUGAUGAAAUCCGGCGAGCUGCUGGCUUGUGAAGGUUAAAGGCACGGCAACUGUGUGUUUGGAGUAAGGUUAUCGCUGGUGGCUGAAGGGAGGGGUGAACUCGUUUGGUCGUUUAGCUGUUGUCUGUUGCUUGUCUCCGAUGGUUGUGAUGGUCCGCGAGAGUGGUGGAGCAAGGAGAAUGGGCGACGUUGAUCUUCUCGUCUUAAGGGAGAAGGGUUGUUGGACUGGGUUGAACAGUCUGAAAUUGGGCCUCUUUUUGGGUUGAUGCAAUUUAUGACAUUAAUUAGCCUAAAACACUAUUUUCCCCUUCUAAUGUAAUAUAAAAUCUAAACUAUAUAAUACAAAAUUAAUUUUAAUU